AUUGAACGCUGGCGGCAUGCUUUACACAUGCAAGUCGAACGGCAGCGCGGGCUUCGGCCUGGCGGCGAGUGGCGAACGGGUGAGUAAUGCAUCGGAACGUGCCCAGUAGUGGGGGAUAGCCCGGCGAGAGCCGGAUUAAUACCGCAUACGACCUGAGGGUGAAAGCGGGGGACCGAAAGGCCUCGCGCUAUUGGAGCGGCCGAUGUCGGAUUAGCUAGUUGGUGGGGUAAAGGCUUACCAAGGCGACGAUCCGUAGCUGGUCUGAGAGGACGACCAGCCACACUGGGACUGAGACACGGCCCAGACUCCUACGGGAGGCAGCAGUGGGGAAUUUUGGACAAUGGGGGCAACCCUGAUCCAGCCAUGCCGCGUGCGGGAAGAAGGCCUUCGGGUUGUAAACCGCUUUUGUUCGGGAAGAAAUCCUCUGGGCUAAUACCCCGGGGGGAUGACGGUACCGGAAGAAUAAGCACCGGCUAACCACGUG
rnacentral:rRNA from 1 species